GGCUGGAGAAGGUCCCAAGGGUCCGGCUGUUCGCCGGUUAAAGCGGUACGCGAGCUGGGUUUAGAACGUCGUGAGACAGUAACCGAAGGGUGAGCUGUCGUUAAACUUGGCUAUAUGCUGGGAACUCUGAGUAUCUCGCACUACUCGAAGGAGUGAAAACGUGACGAGUGCAGACAACCAGCAGGAAAGGCCAGACGAGGGGCUUUGCCAGUACGUCGCGGGCUUCGUUGAUGGCGAAGGCAGCUUCCACGUAGCGUUUCAGCGUAGUCGGUUCACGAGACUGGGGCUUCAGGUCAUUCCGGAGUUCCAUGUGUCGCAGAAUCCCGAACGCGCUGAAGUGCUCAAGCUGAUCCAAGAGGUGUUGGGGUGCGGUUAUAUCAAGGCGAAUCACCCGGGCAGCUCUCGAGAUCAGAGCGUGGUGCUGGUCGUUCGCAAUCGACAAGACCUGGCAAAGCGGGUCCUGCCGUUCUUCGAAAGGUUCCCGUUGCGAUCGUCAAAGCAACGGGAGUUUCAGACGUUCGCCGCGGUUGUUCAUGCCAUGGAACGCGGUGAGCACCUGACGAAGGACGGAAUGGCUCAGAUCCUGCAGCGGGCGUUUGCGAUGAACAGCGGAAGAUAUCGCAAGCGCAAGUUGCAAGAUCACCUGAACGUUCUGGAAUCCUCAGAGACUGUACGCCAGGCCCCCGCCACAAAGCGGGGAAAGAUACAGUCCGGCCUGCAUGGCGACAUGCAGAGGUUGGCAGAAAUGACCAGCCCGCCCGUGAACGUCGUAGUACGAGAGGACCCGGGCAAACGGACCUCCGGUGUCCCAGUUGUUCCGCCAGGAGCAUCGCUGGGUAGUCGUGUCCGGAACGGAUAAGCGCUGAAUGCAUCUAAGCGCCAAGCCUCCUCCAAGACGAGGUUUCCCGGGGCGCAAGCCCCCUGAAGGCCCCUGGCAGACUACCAGGUUGAUAGGCUGCAGGUGUAAGGCCCGUGAGGGUUUUAGCCAAGCAGUACUAAUCGGCCGUGCGGCUUAACUAC
rnacentral:rRNA from 1 species